CUACGGGAGGCAGCAGUGAGGAAUUUUGCGCAAUGGGGGAAACCCUGACGCAGCAACGCCGCGUGAGUGAAGAAGGCCCUUGGGUCGUAAAGCUCUGUCAAUGGGGAAGAAGUUACUUGGUAUUAAUAGUGCCUUGUAUUGACGGUACCCAUGAAGGAAGCACCGGCUAACUCCGUGCCAGCAGCCGCGGUAAUACGGGGGGUGCAAGCGUUAUUCGGAAUUAUUGGGCGUAAAGGGCACGCAGGCGGUCCUGUCAGUCAGAUGUGAAAGCCCGGGGCUCAACCCCGGACGUGCAUUUGAAACAGGAGGACUUGAGUACGGGAGAGGAAAGGGGAAUUCCUGGUGUAGAGGUGAAAUUCGUAGAUAUCAGGAGGAACACCGGUGGCGAAGGCGCCUUUCUGGACCGAUACUGACGCUGAGGUGCGAAGGCGUGGGUAGCGAACGGGAUUAGAUACCCUCGUAGUC
rnacentral:rRNA from 1 species